UUAUUCAGUUCCUUUAUUUAUAGGCACAGCUGCUUAAAGACUGUUACCGGAAAGGAAUCCUGAUCCAGACGCCAAGAGAGGGUUCUUGGACUCAUGCAAGAAAGACUUCAGGACAGAGAUCAUGGAAGUUGGGCCCGACUGGAUGAGAUUUGGGGGUCUUUGGAAGUGGAGAAUGUGUUUGCCCUGGGGAAGAGAGGUGAUGUCUAGGAGACCUCUUCACUCAGGGCAAGCUCUAUGACCUGCUUUGACUCCAGAAUGUGGUAGAAGUGGCAUCACAUAAAUUGCAGAGCCUAGGCUUCAAGAGACCUUGCAACUUGCCUCUCACUGACUUGAAGUGCUCCCAUCAGAGCAUCUUGUAAGGAGCAGGUGGAGCAUGUGGACAAGCCAUCCCCACCAGCCCCUGAGACAUGUGAGAGAGGCCAGAACAGGCCAUCCGGACCCCACUGUGCUGGUGGAUGAGACAGCAGAAGGAAUAUCAACCUACCAACAGAAUCCUGAGAAAUGCUCACUCUUACUUCAAGCUGCUGCAUUUUGAUGUUAUGAAACCAUAAAUAACUUAUGAAGUCAUCUUUGCUGACUUAAAGUUUUCCAUAACUUUAUUAUAACAUAUCAAAAUUAUGAAAAAUGUGAAAAGUAGAAAACUGAUGAAUUUUGCUUCUUCAUAUGGUCUUUAAGAAUCUCAAAGGCACUGAAGUUUUUUAUCUUUUCUGUCUUAGAAUAAAAAACCUUGAAUGAAAAUCUGCUUCUUGGAAAAGCAGCAAGGUUUAUGCAGAGGCAAUCUGGUAUUUGUGUGCACUGGCAGCUGAUCAUACCCAGCAUGCACGCACUCUCAGGGCAGAGUCUGAUGCCCCACAUAAUGGGGCAUGGUAAGGACUCCCAUGUCCUUGAGAUAAAAUGAUAAGGAAAAUACACACUGCUAUUAGAAUAACAGGCCCAGCUUCUGCACAUUUUAAUUCCCAAAGUUUUCAUGAAAGACAAUGAUUUUUUGGUACCAUGUUUAACUCUACAAGAAUCAGUAGUGAAAACUAAAAAUGAUACUUUGUGAAAGUUCAUUAAUUUUGUUUUCAGCCAGUGGUGGCCUUGGUCAGAUAGAAUCAAAUCUAUGAUACUUUUUAUCAGAAAUGCUUAUACUGUGUACAAACCCAAAGUGAUGGCUUUCAAAGAUUGAAUUUGAUUAUUUUCUGUAUGGUGCAGAUGAAAAAUUACUACACAGGAGAAGGUGGGUUGGAGGUGCUCACGAGUAACCAGGAAACAGUCUGAAGUUUUUCUGAUACUUCUCCUUGGUCCAACCAAAUGUGAGAUAUAAACACAAACUUGGGAUUCCGUU
rnacentral:lncRNA from 1 species